rnacentral:lncRNA from 1 species
UUGUUUCAUAUAUGUAAAAAUGUUAAAUAAAUAAUAAUACGUAAAAUAAUGUAUAUACCAAAUAUUUAUUCCGCGCAAAACGCGAGUCUUAAACUAGUAUAUUGCAUGGAAUAUGAUUUGAUACUCACUUAAAAUACAUAUCAAACUUCUUGUUUCAUGCAUUAACAAAAUUGCAUUCCAAAUCUCAAAACAAUAACAAGAUUAAUGUUUUUCUAUUUUCAAAGUUUUAUCUUCAAACUUUUUAAUCGCCCAACCUAUUAAAAGUUUAAAAAAUCAGUUAAGUUAAGUACAAAAGAUUUGAGUAAUAAAUAACUUAAAUUUUUUUUCAAAAUUUAAAUAUCCGAACCCGACCC